rnacentral:lncRNA from 1 species
UGGAUAUCAUAGGGAGAAGAGGGGUGGUGCCAGGCCCUGGGUGAGCAACCUCAGGGGUGAGUAACCCCAGAGGUGAGUCUCAGUCCCCCUACUGUCACCCCACUCACCUUCCCAGAUCGAUGAGCUGUAUGAGGCAUACUGUGUCCAGCGGCGUCUCCGGGAUGGUGCCUACAACAUGGUCCGUGCCUACACCACUGGGUCCCCGGGAAGCCGAGAGGCCCGGGACAGCCUGGCAGAGGCCACUCGGGGGCAUCGCGAGUACACGGAGAGCAUGUGUCUGCUGGAGAGCGAGCUGGAGGCACAGCUGGGCGAGUUUCAUCUCCGAAUGA